GUGCUCACUUUGGCAGCACAUAUACUAAAAUUGGAAUGAUACAGAGAAGAUUAGCAUGGCCCCUGCACAAGGAGGACAUGCAAAUUCGUGAAGCGUUCCGUAUUUUU
ensembl:snRNA U6 U6 spliceosomal RNA